ACUCCUGCCUCAGCCUCCCAAGUGCUGGGAUCACAGGACUUCUUUCAGCCUGUACGGAUUUGAGUUCCCAGGAGAAGGGGUGGAUUGGUAAACUCUGAAAGGGGCAGGAUGGCUCCGUGGUCCUCAUCCACCUGGACCCGAACUCUAGUCCCUAACGGAUGGAAGAGCCCUGCUGAAGGGAAGCCCCUCUGAGAGGUUCAAAGGGGGGCUCCGCCCACAGCUGCCUCUAGAGCCCCCGCCUCUCUCGCGGAGGCCUAUGCACUAACGGCCUCUCCUAAGAGUGGACACCAGGGGACGCCACACACCGAGGGAAGGUGACUCAGGCUACGAGCUACUAGCCCAGGCGCCCGGUCUUUUUGUCCUUUUGCUGAGGUCCUCCGAGUGAGAGAGAAGAGCGCUCUCCUGCUUCCUUAACAUCUGUCUUACCUGACCUGCCGCCUUUUGGGGGGGGUGCCCUCGGAUAUGUCUAUAAGAAGCUCUGAGAAUCCUAGGGACACGUGGAGGGGGUGCCCUGCUGUGUGUCUUUGGGCCGCCUGCACUACCAUUCCAAGGCUUGGUUUUCCUCACCUGUCCCUCUGGAGUGAUAAUUCCCUGCCGUGCUUUACUGGCUGUAUGCGUGCAACUUAUGCAAAAGAGCGUUCCAAACCCCUUGGGUGUCUGUGGUGAGGAGAUCAGCCUUCGAGGACAACAAGGAGGCGGUGAGAAGUGGUUGGAUUUUGGAUAAUGUGUCAAAGGUGUCAAGAAUGAUACCAGGUACCUGUCUGGAGCCUAUGGAGACUGGCGAUACUUUUUAUUUAGUGGGGAAGAUGGAGGCAUGAUAAGUAUUUGAGAUGAAUAAGUGAAGACAGAGACCAGAGUUGGGGUCAUUUUCUCAGAGUCCUGGAAAGACCAAUGGCCAAUAGGUUGGACUGGAUCAGAGGUGCAAACCAACCCAAUAUACAGAGUGUCAUCCCUUCCUAUGCCCCGGCAGACAUCACUAAUUCAUCCUGGCACUCGGGAUCUCUCUCAACCCGGAGCUCCCUCGAUGGGGGCCCAGGAAUGUAGUUAAGACCAGGGGCUUUCACGUCAGAGAGCUCUUGGCUGGAAAGCUAAUCUUGCUACCAAAUAACCUGAGACAUCAGAAAAAAAACAAACAAAAAACCUGCUUCGGUUUCCUCAUCUGAAAAUGGAGUUAAUAAUAGUUUCUUUCUCAUAGGGCUGUUGGAAGAUUAAAUGAGAUCAUCCAAGCACAGUGCUUAGGACAGCGCUAGCGACACCGUGAUAGCUUCAUUCAUAAAAGCAGCAGUGAUAGGAGUUGCUGAGUUGUGUUGUUGCUCUAGCUUAACAUUCCCAAAUUUAUCCCUCUUCUUUGCCAUUUCUAACUUCUCCGAUAUGGACCGUGCAAGGCUGGAAAUGUCCAGCAGGAGGCGCUGUGGACAUUCACAGUCUCUGCCUCCCACAGAGGACCGGGACCUGGCAAACGGUUUUCCAUGGAACUGUGGCCUCUGAUGAUGCUCCCGGCAGCAGUCUGGCCCUUUCUGCCUGGUGCUGUACUCUGCCUUCGGACUCGUGCUGAACAGCAAUGUCUCGGCCUCCUCACCGGGUCUGAUCCUCUCCUGGGAGCAGGCCUGGGACUUCCGGCUCGGUGAACCUCAGCCCGCCUGUGUGAGGAAUCUGCAACUGUUGGUAUGUGUUUGUC